rnacentral:tRNA from 6 species
GAUCCGUUAACUCAGCGGCCAGAGUGCCUCCCUGUCCAGGAGGAAGCCAAGGGUUCAACUCCCUUACGGAUCGCCA